GAUGAAGAACGCAGCGAAAUGCGAUAAGUAGUGUGAAUUGCAGAAUUCAGUGAAUCAUCGAAUCUUUGAACGCACAUUGCGCCCCUUGGUAUUCCAUGGGGCAUGCCUGUUCGAGCGUCAUUUGUACCUUCAAGCUUUGCUUGGUGUUGGGUGUUUGUCCUGAGGGACUCGCCUUAAAGUAAUUGGCAGCCAGUGUUUGGUUUUGAAGCGCAGCACAAGUCGCGAUUCAAAGCUAUACGCCCGCUUCCACAAGCCUUUUUCACUUUUGACCUCGGAUCAGGUAGGGAUACCCGCUCAACUUAAGCAUAUCAAUAAGCGGAGGA
rnacentral:misc_RNA from 1 species